CCAUCAGGUGCUCAAUCACUGGUUCAAGUUGUGACUUAGAAUUUCUGCUACGACAGCAUGCAGGCUGGUAUGAGGGAGGAAUUCAAACUAAAUCAUCUGUGCUGUCUUUGGCUUCUCUACCAUGACAGUGAAAUGGCAGAGACCUCUGCAGCUCUUCAAGAAAGUGAUUUUCCUGAAUGCACUCUCCUAAUACCUUUCUGAUCAUCAACAUAGUUAAGUCAGUUAGUGACAACUGUGGAAUCACAGAGAGAUGGAAGGAAGAACUAAGGGCAAAGCUCACAAAGCAAAGCUCAAAGACAGACGGAGAUUCGUAUACCACAUGAUGAAAAGGCUCUUACUUCUGGUCUAAGCACUGUCCUGCCCUGCAUCCACUUGGAGCAGUGACUGAGCACUGCCUUCCCAAACAGCUGAAUUGCCUGGUAUUCCACUGUUGGACUAUAUAGAUCAAACUGCCUGCUAAUAAUUCAUUACCUCUUGUGGAAUACAGUGCUGGCAAAAGAAAAGAUUUGUGGGGGCAUUUCUGCUUUCUGACAGAGCACCCUAGGCCUGAGAUGUCAUGCUGGUUUCAGCUUUCUGUGUGAGAGCUAAUAGCUCUGCACUUCAGAAGUGGGGCAAGAGUUGACAGAUUGCCUGCAUGCAGCUCCCACAAACAACUUAUGGAGAUCAGGGUGCUGCUGUGAAGAUGUGUAGGAACUGCUCUCAGAACUGACAGCCUCCAAGUAGCUAGCCUUGAUAGCUCCUUUAUACUCUAAACUUAUGGAUUUUUAAAUUAUUCAGAGAGUUCUGUUGUCUGUGUUUUUGUUUUUUUUUUCCCUGAAUUGUUGAGAUAUUUCAGUAGGGGAAUUUACAUUACAGAAUUUAGAGGGCUGUUGUUUCCUGUUUGUUCGUUCUCUAUCUGGAAUUCCCUCCCUUUUCUUAUUAAUGAUUUGUUGUCUUUCUGAGCACAAUGAAUGCAGAAAGAAUAAGACCUAAUGGUGCAGGUUAGUUAUCCAUGAAAUUUCUCUGUAUUUAAUUGUAACAGUUGGUAUCUUCCUGCUUAGUAUGACUGGUACAUUAAAUAUAAAGAG
rnacentral:lncRNA from 1 species